AUUGAACGCUGGCGGCAUGCCUUACACAUGCCAGUCGAACGGCAGCACGGGUGCUUGCCCCUGGUGGCGAGUGGCGAACGGGUGAGUAAUACAUCGGAACAUGUCCUGUAGUUGGGGAUAGCCCGGCGAAAGCCGGAUUAAUACCGCAUACGAUCUACGGAUUAAAGCGGGGGACCUUCUGGCCUCGCCUUAUAGCGUUGGCCGAUGGCUGAUUAGCUAGUUGGUGGGGUAAAGGCCUACCAAGGCUACGAUCAGUAGCUGGUCUGAGAGGACGACCAGCCACAUUGGGACUGAGACACGGCCCAGACUCCUACGGGAGGCAGCAGUGUGGAAUUUUGGACAAUGGGCGAAAGCCUGAUCCAGCAAUGCGGCGUGUGUAAAGAAGGCCUUCGGGUUGUAAAGCACUUUUGUCCGGAAAGAAAGCCUUGGCCCUAAUACGGGCGGGUGAUGACGGUACCGGAAGAAUAAGCACCGGCUAACUACGUG
rnacentral:rRNA from 1 species